rnacentral:lncRNA from 1 species
CCACCAAAGCAGUCCUGGACUCUUGGUGACCUUGGCUCAUCAUCUUUCAGUGACUGUGCAGUCAUGAGUAACUGAUGUGGGCACACGUGCCUAAGGACAUUGGACAUGUCUGCCCAGCACCCUCUUAAGUCAACACUCUCCCUGAAACUGUUCUUGGUGACUCAGGAAGGCAAAAGAUUUAGUAUUGCAAUCAGGAAAAAAUAAAUUCCUCCUCUGUUGCAUCUAUUUGGACACGCUGGACAGGAUGACCUGGGAGGUAAUAGCAACCUUUCCUACAGUUCAUGUUAGUAUAAACAGUAGGUGCAUUUGAAGGACUCCUCCAUAUACACAUUCUCAAAGGUAAAUCUAAGUGAGGCUUAGACAAACAGAAGGCAGUGGCUAUGCUUCCUUUGAGAUUGAAAGACCACCCUGGUCUCAAACAGGAGGUCAAGUUCUAUCACUUGUCCACUGAUUGGUGUCUCUGUUUGGGGUGAGGAAUGGUAAUUUGCAAGAUAGCAGCAGCUUGAUGUUGGCAAUUCUGUUGAGGAAAAAUAUUAGCUAAACUAAUAUUUUAGUGUUAUAUUUUGUGUUUGUAAUAUUUUGUGUUUCUUUUUGAGCAAUAUCAUCCUCUGCUCUAAAGAAAAAUGAUGAGUAUAAGGGAGAGUUCAGAAAUAUCUCAGAGCCAUGGUGAAAGUGAAACACAAAUGUACUUGCAUUUGAGAACCAAAGACCUGGUUUGUUAGCCUUAUUUUGAAUUUCUCUGUGAUAUGGGGCACUCACUAUACCUAGUUGCAACUGAAUACAGAUACUGACAAAGACCACUGGGAGAAGAAGCCAAGACUUUUUAUGUUGAAUAUGUUAUAUGGCUUAAUAAGAGUGAAUGGGGAUUUGCACCAGCAGGUAUUACUUGUGGUCUAACAAGACAGUUUCCCUAAGAAACUGAAAUUUAUUGAAACAGGCUCUGAAUAAUUUCUUAUUUUCUGUGUUUCUCAGAUAUCUUAUCCCUUUCCUUUUUAGCAGCCAUGAUUAUUCUACAGAAAAUAAUUGACAACGUAUACCAAAUACUUUUAGCUCCAUUAUGAGGAGUCAACAGCAGAUUUAAUCACAAACCAGAGUACUAAUUGUAAGACUAAUUUUUACAUAAAUGCUGGAUCUUCCAUAAGAAUAAGCUACUCAUUCUUAUGUUUACUUCUACUUGGGUGAGAGAGGAAAACAGUAAGUUUCAAGGUCUUUGGAGGAGGGAUGCAGGGACAGAAUAAUGAAAGAUAAGUGCAUAGUAGUGUAUUCCUGAAUGUGAGUUCAAGAGCAAAUGCCUCCUCUUUGGGAAAAGCUCCUACUUGGGAGGGUUUUAAUAUCUUGUGGUUUCAAUCUCUCACAUUUUACUGAACUAUGUCCUUAUUAGGGUCUCAAAUUUCCCGGGCACCACAAGGCUACCCCGGCUCAGAUUUAAUCAGCAGCAGACAUCCAUCAAGAGGACGGAAGGGCCAUCCCUGCCCCCUCGGAGCCCUCCCAUUAAUGAAAUAUUCACCAAGAAAACAGUGCCAGAAUGCAAACAAACAGUAUUGACCAUAUCCUUGCCCCACUUCUAACCUCCUGUGAUCCUUGGCUUCUGUUCAGUAAUUGUAUUUAUUUUGAUUUCGUUAAAAAAUGUGAGAGAUGGAAUUUCACUUAGGCCUGAAGUUCAAAGAUUUAUAGCCCAGAUAUACCAGAGAGAAUUGUCUCAGAGUCUGUAUCAGUUUGGGGUUAGAUGCCCUCAUCUACUUGGGAUGUUUUCCAAAUGUUCCUCGUACUUUCUCAGCAAUUUACAAACAAUUUAGAAGAUACUAUCACCAUCAUCUUUUUCAUCUGAUCUCAAUAAUUGUGCAUUAGGUGUGGUCAGUCUCGUUUUACAAAUCUCAUCUUCUCAUUUCUCCAGAUUUGUGGGAUUAAAGGUAAAAUGCUUCAGACAUAUCACAGAUUGAAAUAAGCAAUUUAUUCCAUUUAUUGACAUCCACAUGAUCCAAGUGCCAGGCCCACAAAUGUAAAGAUGAGCCAUAGUCCCAGCAGUGUCAUGGAUAUUACAUGUGUCAGGGAACACAUUCAAUUUUCACUAGUACAAUUUAAAUCAUGAGUCCAAUUAGAAAAUAAUUCACAAGUCUGUGUCACUGGACAUUGUUUAUUUAUUUACUUAUUUUGGUCUUUUUGUCUUUUUUUAGGGCUGCACCCGUGGCAUAUGGAAGUUCCCAGGCUAAGGGGGUUGAAUCGGAGCUGUAGCCACCGGCCUACACCAGAGCCACAGCAACGCGGGAUCCGAGCCGCGUCUGCAACCUAUACCACAGCUCAUGGCAAUGCCGGAUCGUUAACCCACUGAGCAAGGGCAGGGACCGAACCCGCAACCUCAUGGUUCCUGGUCGGAUUCGUUAACCACUGCGCCACGACGGGAACUCCUAUUCCAAACUUCUAAAGAGAGAUGAGAAAACUUGAAGUUUGGAAGUUUAGUACAUAACCAAAAUGGAGGAGAAUCACGAUUACAUGACCAAGAGCCCCUUUUUAGCUUAGUGAUCAGCAGAUCUGACUGAUAAGUCAAGAGCAUAGGACAGAAAAGCUGAGAUGAGACACUAAGCAUAUCCUCCAGGAACAGGAGCAAGUCAUGUGCUAUGCAGAGACAUGGAUUGAAGACGCCGAGUUUAGAGAACAUAUAUUGAAAAUGAGGACAUAUGGAAAGGAAGCCAUGUGCACCCACAAAGCUGGUCAAGUUCAGUGAAGUCAGUAUUUCAAGUUUGUAUGUGUGUGUCUUGACAGAGUGCCUCAGCUUCCAACAGAGUGCCUGGUGCAUAGGGGCACUUGGUAGCAUUUGCCAGGAGAUAAUACACUGCAGAUGAGUUCCAGGGCAACUGAAUUGCUGGGGCAUCUAGGUCAGAGUGUUUUCUCAAUAAAAGCAGGGUAUUUAAUUUUCAAGUCUUUCUUCAUUAUGGAAGUCUGACUGACACAUUGCAUGAUAAUCAUACAAUAUAACAGCUGUUAUUAUAAUGCUCUUCUUCAGUGUUUUUUUGCCUUUUCUUUUCAUCAUGAAUUGAAAGCAAAAUCCCUAAAGGUAACCUCAGUGAUUUUUUUCCUCUUUCUCUCCUUUGAUUCAUGCUGAGAACAGCUCUGACGUUCAUUGUGGAGGGGAUUGGUUCCCAUUUCCUCUUCCUAUUUUCAUCAGAUGAGGACAAUUUUUAAAGUCCUUAAUUGUUGAGAGUGGGCAUGGUAUUAGCACCAAUUUAUGACUUUAUCCUAAUGUGUCCCAUAUUUAGAGUGACAGACUCUGUGAGAUUUAAGAUUGUGAGACAUAAACAAGGGUGCCAGAGUUAUUUAUGGAGAUGGUCAAUGUCAUCACCCCAUGAUGCCUUCAAAAUUGAACUCACAGCUUUCAGCUAUGAUGAAAUGGCCUCAUUGUUUCUUUCUCUCUUGACAUAUCUGACAAUUCUUCCAUCAUCCUUCUCAUAUAAGAGCUUUAUAAUUAAUUAAAUAGAUGCAAGAGCUGACACUUUAGGGGGAAAAAUCAACCACAAUUAUAUGGAUAUACUUAGCAAGUAUAAAUGAAGGGAAAAAAAAAA